UUUUUAUUUGAGCUAUUUUAUUUAGUUAAAGGAUAAAUUACAGAAAAUUUUAAUACUUGUUUUUUCACUUUCUCUUCUUGUCAUUCAAAAAUCUAUAUUUUAUUUUCUUAAAAAAUAAAAAUUAUUUAUAGGGGGAUACGCUGUGAUAAAAUGACUAGAUUAUCUCUCAUCUUCUUCGGGGUGGGCGUAGACAGAGAGGCAGGCGAGUGCGAGACGGCGGAGCGUGAGGCGGCGCGGCCGAGAAUGAGGAAGGAGGAGGGUUUCAGAAAUAUUUUGGAUAUAAAAAAUAAGAUAUAAAUGGAACCCUAACAGAAUAUUGAUGGCGUGGUCAAAAUGAAUAUUUUUUAUUUUUUAAGAGGACAAAAAGUGUAGCUUUUUGAAUGACAGGAGGAAAAAGUGAAAAAACGGUUAUUGAUGGGAAGGUUUUUUUUAUAAUUUAACCAUUAAUUAAAUUAAUAUUUUAUUAUAUUAUAUAUUUUUAUUUAAAUAAUUAUAAUUAAUUAAAUUAUAUUUUGGUAAAUUGAGCAAUUGUACUAUCUAUUAGCCAAUAAUUAUUUUAAUUUUAGCUUCUAAUAAAUUUAGUUGAUAUUUAACUUAAACUAGUGUAGGGCCCGCGCUUCACGGCGGAUAGAUAAUAUUUUAUCAAAUUUAAAUAUUUUAAUUUAUACAAAUUUUAAUAAAUAGUUUAUAGUAUUUCAGCAAAUUUAAAAAUUUUAAUUUAUACCCAAUCCAAACAAGCCCUAAGUGUAUUAAAUAUGAUGCAAGAGAUUAUUUUCUGCCUAUAUAAAAAUAUGCACUAUAUCAUAUAUAGGUGAUAAUAAAUUAUCUGUAGAUGAACAUAUCAAAUCUUAGUGGC
rnacentral:lncRNA from 1 species